GCAACUCGCCUACAUGAAGUCGGAGUUGCUAGUAAUCGCGGAUCAGAAUGCCGCGGUGAAUGCGUUCCCGGGUCUUGUACACACCGCCCGUCACACCAUGGAAGUUGGGGGCGCCCGAAGUUGCCUAAGAAAUAAGGUACCUAAGGCGAAACCAAUGACUGGGGUGAAGUCGUAACAAGGUACC
rnacentral:rRNA from 1 species